AACGAACGCUGGCGGCAUGCCUAACACAUGCAAGUCGAACGAUUGCCUUCGGGUGAUAGUGGCGCACGGGUGCGUAACGCGUGGGAAUCUGCCCUUAGGUUCGGAAUAACAGCUGGAAACGGCUGCUAAUACCGGAUGAUAUCGCGAGAUCAAAGAUUUAUCGCCUGAGGAUGAGCCCGCGUUGGAUUAGGUAGUUGGUGGGGUAAAGGCCUACCAAGCCGACGAUCCAUAGCUGGUCUGAGAGGAUGAUCAGCCACACUGGGACUGAGACACGGCCCAGACUCCUACGGGAGGCAGCAGUGGGGAAUAUUGGACAAUGGGCGCAAGCCUGAUCCAGCAAUGCCGUGUGAGUGAUGAAGGCCCUAGAGUUGUAAAGCUCUUUUACCCGGGAAGAUAAUGACUGUACCGGGAGAAUAAGCCCCGGCUAACUCCGUG
rnacentral:rRNA from 1 species